rnacentral:rRNA from 1 species
GAUUAACGCUAGCGGCAGGCCUAAUACAUGCAAGUCGAGGGGCAGCAGGGUGUAGCAAUACAUCGCUGGCGACCGGCGCACGGGUGCGUAACACGUAUGCAACCUACCUUUAACUGGGGAAUAGCCCUCCGAAAGGAGGAUUAACACCGCAUAACAUCACGAGACGGCAUCGCCUUGUGAUCAAACCUCCGGGGGUUAAAGAUGGGCAUGCGUCCGAUUAGCUAGUUGGCGGGGUAACGGCCCACCAAGGCGACGAUCGGUAGGGGGUCUGAGAGGAUGAUCCCCCACACUGGUACUGAGACACGGACCAGACUCCUACGGGAGGCAGCAGUAAGGAAUAUUGGACAAUGGUCGCAAGACUGAUCCAGCCAUGCCGCGUGCAGGAUGAACGAUCUAAUGAUCUGUAAACUGCUUUUGUUCGGGAAUAAACCCCUUCACGUGUGGAGGGCUGAAUGUACCGAAAGAAUAAGGUCGGCUAACUUCGUGCCAGCAGCCGA